CAAGUCGAACGAGUUUCCGGGCUUGCUCGGAAAUUAGUGGCGAACGGCUGAGUAACGCGUAGGUGACCUACCCCGUAGUGAGGAAUAACUGCCCGAAAGGGUAGCUAAUACCUCAUGUUGAGACGCUUUCAUUGGCGUCUCCAAAGCAGCAAUGCGCUAUGGGCGGGGCCUGCGUUCGAUUAGCUAGUUGGUGAGGUAAUGGCUCACCAAGGCGACGAUCGAUAGGUGGUCUGAGAGGACGAUCACCCAGACUGGGACUGAGACACGGCCCAGACUCCUACGGGAGGCAGCAGUCGGGAAUUUUGCGCAAUGGGGGAAACCCUGACGCAGCAAUACCGCGUGUGGGAUGAAGGCCUUCGGGUCGUAAACCACUUUUCUCGGGGACGAUAAUGACGGUACCCGAGGAAUAAGCCACGACUAACUACGUGCCAGCAGCCGCGGUAAUACGUAGGUGGCAAGCGUUGUCCGGAUUUACUGGGCGUAAAGCGCGCGCAGGCGGUGAAUGAAGUCGAAAGUGAAAGCCCCGGGCUCAACUCGGGAACAGCUUUCGAAACCAGUUCACUUGAAGGUGGAAGAGGGAAGUGGAAUUCCGAGUGUAGCGGUGGAAUGCGCAGAUAUUCGGAGGAACACCAGAGGCGAAGGCGACUUCCUGGUCCAAUCUUGACGCUGAGGCGCGAAAGCUAGGGGAGCAAACAGGAUUAGAUAUCCUGGUAGUCCUAGCUGUAAACGAUGGAUACUAGGUGUUGGAGGUUUUAACCCCUCCGGUGCCGCAGCUAACGCAUUAAGUAUCCCGCCUGGGGAGUACGGCCGCAAGGCUAAAACUCAAAGGAAUUGACGG
rnacentral:rRNA from 1 species